AUGUUCCUCAUAUGUGCUGAAGGGUUCCCAACCAUGUUACAUAAAGCAGAAGCAAAUCAAAGAUUGAAAGGGAUUAAAAUCUGUAGGCAAGCCCCAAGUGUCAGCCACUUAUUAUUUGUAGAUGAUUCGUUAUUGCUAAUGGAGGCAAAUGCCAAUGCAGCCCAGGAAGUGAACAGAAUCUUGCAUAUUUAUGAAGCAUGCUCAGGACAAAUGACCAAUAAGAAAAAAUCAGCAAUAGUGUUUAGCAAGAACACAGAGGAAAUAAAAAGAAAUGAGAUGAAGAGGAUCUUAGGCAUCAACAUUGAAGGUUUUUCAGGCAGAUACUUAGGCCUACCAGUAUACAUAGGCAAGAACAAAACAAAGACCUUCAACUUUAUAAGGGAGAGAGUGUGGAAGAAAAUCCAAGGAGGAAAUGACAAACUUCUAUCAUAA
rnacentral:rRNA from 1 species